rnacentral:rRNA from 1 species
AUGACAAACUUUAUCAGGAGAACUAGAUUGAGAUGGGCUAACCAGCUGAUGUUACCCGGGGAGAGGGAGUGGAGUGUACCACUAAUUCAUCAACUGUUUUACCCUUUCAACGUGGAAACCAUUUGUAAUAUAAAAAUCCCCUUGGUGGAGAUUGAGGACUGCAUUACAAGGCAUUACGAAAAAUCUGGAAACUUCUCUGUCAAGAGCGCUUAUAGAUUGGCAGCUCAACCAAUGAAGCGGACAAUCGAAGUAUUUGGGAUCUCAUUCGGAAAGCAAAAGUUGCCCCAAAAAUCAGGGUCUUUGAUGGAGAACUGCUACCGGUACUUUGGGAACUAA